AUGAACGCUGGCGGCGUGCCUAAUACAUGCAAGUCGAGCGAACAGACGAGUAGCUUGCUCCUCUGACGUUAGCGGCGUACGGGUGAGUAACACGUGGAUAACCUACCUAUAAGACUGUGAUAACUUCGGUAAACCGGAUCUAAUACCGGAUAAUAUAUUUAACCGCAUGGUUCAAUAUUGAAUUACGGUUUUGCUUUCACUUAUAGAUGGAUCCGCGCCGCAUUAGCUAGUUGGUAAGGUAACGGCUUACCAAGGCAACGAUGCGUAGACGACCUGAGAGGGUGAUCGGCCAAACUGGAACUGAGACACGGUCCAGAAUCCUACGGGAGGCAGCAGUAGGGAAUAUUACGCAAUGGGCGAAAGCUUGACGGAGCAAAGCCGCGUGAGUGAUGAAGGUCUUAGGAUCGUAAAACUCUGUUAUUAGGGAAGAAAAAAUGUGUAAGUAAAUAUGCACGUAUUGACGGUACCUAAACAGAAAGCCACGGCUAACUACGUG
rnacentral:rRNA from 1 species